rnacentral:rRNA from 1 species
CACCAGUGGCGAAGGCGGCUUUCUGGACUGUAACUGACACUGAGGCAUGAAAGCGUGGGUAGCAAACAGGAUUAGAUACCCUGGUAGUCCACGCCGUAAACGAUGGGUACUAGGUGUAGGAGGUAUCGACCCCUUCUGUGCCGUCGUUAACACAAUAAGUACCCCGCCUGGGGAGUACGGUCGCAAGACUAAAACUCAAAGGAAUUGACGGGGGCCCGCACAAGCAGCGGAGCAUGUGGUUUAAUUCGAAGCAACGCGAAGAACCUUACCUAGACUUGACAUCUCCUGAAUUACCCGUAACUGGGGAAGCUCUUCGGAGCAGGAAGACAGGUGGUGCAUGGUUGUCGUCAGCUCGUGUCGUGAGAUGUUGGGUUAAGUCCCGCAACGAGCGCAACCCUUAUUUUUAGUUGCUACCAUUAAGUUGAGCACUCUAAAGAGACUGCCCGGGUUAACCGGGAGGAAGGUGGGGAUGACGUCAAAUCAUCAUGCCCCUUAUGUCUAGGGCUACACACGUGCUACAAUGGUGAGAACAAAGAGACGCAAUACCGCGAGGUCAAGCAAAUCUCAUAAAUCUCAUCCCAGUUCGGAUUGCAGGCUGAAACUCGCCUGCAUGAAGCCGGAGUUGCUAGUAAUCGCGAAUCAGCAUGUCGCGGUGAAUACGUUCCCGGGCCUUGUACACACCGCCCGUCACACCAUGAGAGUUGGCAAUACCCGAAGUCCGUGGGGUAACCGUAAGGGACCAGCGGCCGAAGGUAGGGUCAGCGAUUGGGGUGAAGUCGUAACAAGGUAACC